UGCGAGGGGGGCGAGCGUUGUUCGGAAUUAUUGGGCGUAAAGGGUGCGUAGGCGGUUUGGUAAGUCUUGUGUGAAAUCUUCGGGCUCAACUCGAAGUCUGCACGAGAAACUGCCGGGCUUGAGUAUGGGAGAGGUGAGUGGAAUUUCCGGUGUAGCGGUGAAAUGCGUAGAUAUCGGAAGGAACACCUGUGGCGAAAGCGGCUCACUGGACCAUAACUGACGCUGAGGCGCGAAAGCUAGGGGAGCAAACAGG
rnacentral:rRNA from 1 species